AUCAGACGGACUGAACAAAACUGAAACUGAAAUGCUUUUCGUUUACAAACAUUACUCUUCUCAGAAAGAAGAAUACAUGGAGUACAUGUGCAUGGUUGAAGUGCCUUUCAUUAAGGCAUUUAACCCACAUUGCUCCAAAUGUGACCUAUCACUUUGACAUGAUUUUAAAUGACAUGCUACAUUUUAGGAACUUUGACCAUGUGAUAUACUCCCAUCACUCUUCUUUUUCAUUAUUUGUUGAGUUGGCAUGUGGAAAUGCACACUGCUGUAAGUUCACAUUAGGCCUACCUGUCUUACAAUACAUGUAUACACAUCUUACUUUAUUUAUGCACUGUGGCUGCAUAUAAGCAUGCAGUGCACAUACUAUAUAUAUGUUCUUGUUUGUUGAUUUAACAAAUGCCCCAAAUCACAGAGUUUGGCAUCAUCUGAAGAUGCUAAGUGUUAUUGCAGUCGAUCAUGUGUUUUCAUGUCUUUUGUUUUAACCAAAUGUCUUUUUCCAGGCGAUUCUCAGGAGGAUAACCGUGUGAUUAAUGUAUAUGCAGAUCAUACAGUGUUUGCUGGGACGUUCUGUCUGGCGUCCACUGAUGCCUUUAAACCCAAACCCUUGAGAAAUGGACAUGAAACUCCUCUGCUGUCUUCACACGCCCACUCAGCAGCACUGAUAGCGCUCUGCAUUGUGAUGUAUCAGUGUCUUUCAAUGUACAGUUAUUGAACUUCUUUUAUUUCCACAAGACAUUGUUACAUUGUCACAUUGUUUUUAUCACUAGUUAAUUGCUUUUUGCCAGGUGGGCUUUUAUGAGGUGAUGCACACAGAAUAUCAAUAAAAAAACUUAAAUGAUGGAAAGAACUUUUAAACUGUUAAUAAUACAUAUGUUUUUGCUAAUAUUCUCUGCGUUUUUAGCUUUAGGACCAAUUAUACUCCACUCUAGACUCUCUCUCUAACAUAUAGGCCUUCAGGGGUGAGCU